rnacentral:lncRNA from 1 species
CUCUUGUCGAACAACGUAUCAAAGUGGUAUCCUCAUCUCUUUUCUCAUCCCUUUUUCGUUUCAUUAUCUUCAGACAAUUUGUUGAUUAUCAACUCCAUUUAGAUCUUUAUUCUUUUUGUUUUCUUAAAUUGCACUAACUUACACAUCUUGUCCCCUUCCAUACUCCUAAAUUUCAAUACAAAGUAGCUAGACAUAUACCACAAGCCUCGCUAGCCUCUUUCUAUGCUUCUCUUGCAAACUUAUAUUUCUCAAAGAUCUCAGCUUUUAUUGUCAAUUAACCUAUUACACUAUCCCCCCUUCACCUAAAUAACCUUUUGAAUCUCCACACACGACUGCUGAGACUCUUGUGGGCAUAGGCCUCUGAUAGCAGCAGCCCAACUAGAGAUUCAGGAACCAUGAACCAUGGGCCAAAACCCUUGAGAGUUUACUAUAGAAGAAACAAGGAAAGGGUAGCAUAGUUCCCAAAUGAAGAGUCCAAUGGACAAAUUAGGUGGUUAUGAGGUUAGAGAGAUUCUCGAACAAUACCUAGAGAAAGAAAGAAUUUUUAUUGUUUUAUAAAUAAUUAUUGUAGAGGAGGACAGCAAGCUGUUAUUUUUUCUUUUAGACAGCCAUUGUGGGGCUAGCUUGAGCCAUUGUUUUCUCGUUCUUCUUGUGCUGUGGAACUUUGUGAGAGGGAAAUUGACAUUGAAAUCCAAAAUCAAUUUAAUCUUCCCAUCUUAUUAUUGAUAAUUGCUCUUAACUCUAUCAAUUUGGUCUGAUAUGCCAGAUCCAAAAACCCCAUGACCAAAACUUGAAUGGAGAGAGGAGUAGAAACACGUAUUGAUCAGGUAGAGAAGAGUAUAGGAAAUUUGGAAGAAGUUAUAGCUUCUAUGAUGCUUGACCAAGAGCAAAGGAUGACUGCUCUUAAAAUGGGGCAAGAACAGAGGUUGACGAGGUUGGAGGCGUUACUCACAUCCUUGGUCAAAGGGAAGGCACAUAUGGAUGAUGCUGAAGCUUCCACCCGAUUAGCGACAAAAGGUACACACUCCAAUACUUUACCUAUUCAACAAACGGUAAUAGUAGAAGCUAAUGCCUUGGCCAUCAAAAAGGUGGAAAUGCCCAACUUUGAUGGAGUACACCCUAUAGGCUGGUUAGCUAGGGCAGAUCAGUAUUUUGUAUUAAACAACACUAUAGUUAGCCCUAGUGUAUGGAAGGACCAGUUCUUCACAGGUUGAGGUGGAUUAAGCAACAUAAUCCUAAUAUUUUUUAGGCUCAGCUAACUCAGAAGCUAUUACGACAAUAUGGUGGGGACAUGAGCAGUAAUCCCUACGAGCGGCUUGCAACUCUUUGGCAAAAUUUCUCAGUGGAUGAAGAUGUUGAUGAUUUUGUAGCAUUAGCAUCUCAUAUGAAAGGGUUAAAUGACCAACAAUGUUUGGGUUAUUUUUUCAGCGGAUUACGGGAUGAAAUCAGGGUGAGGAUUUGCUCUCAUGAAGCAGUUGAUCUUUAUCACUCUAUGGCUGUCGCGAGAGAGAUUGAGCUGAAAAGUCAGUUUCUGCAAUCAUCAAAACCACAUGGACGAAGCUCUGGAGAUGGUGGGCCUCAAUGGGCUUCUGGAAUCGGGCUAAGAGUUGAGGCCGUUACUACUUAUAGACCCACCAGCACUUUAAACACAUUAUCCCCAAAAAAUAAAACCAAGUAUCUUGCACUUUCAGAUCCUAAACCACGAGACCGAUCUUCUUUAAUCCCGAAAGCCUUACCUUCGUCUUCCUAUUCAAAUACCAAAAUUCCACAAAACCAUCACCGCAAUCGACCUACUAGACAGUAAACCCACCGGGAGUUUUUGGAUCUGAGAGCUAAGGGACUGUGUUACAAAUGCAAGCAGCCUCUCUUCUACACAUGAAUGCCUGAAUAAAUCUCUCUAAACUAUAAUUGCCAACAAAGAUGAAGAGCCCAAGAGGAAAUGGAAGUCGAUAUAGUGAUUCUAGAGCCAGAUGGUCAACCGAUAACGAUUUUAGACGAUGUCCAUUUUUCAAAAAUGGAGCUAUCAUUAUAUUCUAUAGGAGGAAUAUCUUCUCCAAAGUCUAUGAAACUGCAGGGCAAAAUAGGGAUCAUACCAUUACUAUCAUGAGACCGUGGUGCCAGUCACAAAUUUGUGUCAGGUAAACUGAUUUCUGAAUUAAGGUUGCCUAUGGAAGAAACCCCUAUUUUCGGCGUGAAAUUGCGUGAUGGACAUCGGGUUCAGACUUCAGAGUUUGCCGAAGUAUCAAGAUUGAUGUGGGUGAUUUGAAAAUUAAGGCCGAUUGUUUUCGAUUUCCUCUAGGAGGUGUAGAUUUAAUUCUGGGAAUUGCUUAGCUCCAGACUCUAGGAGAAGUUAGGAUUAUUUGAUUAACUAUGAAGAUGAUUUUCUCUCACUCAGGGUGGCUCGUAACUAUUGAAGGCAAUCCAACUUUCACACGGGCUCUAGAGACUGCACAAAUUGAAGGAUGUGAAUGUCACUUUGCUUUUAUGGGAAAUUUCUCAACCCAUAGAAAACUCUUCAGAAGGUACUGAGAUUAAUAAGGAAAAACAGCUUCAAUUACAGCAACUACUCAACUCCUUUGAUAAAGUGUUUGGAGAAAUUACUAGCCCACCUCCAGAUAGACAUACUGAUCAUGUCAUUCCAUUGGCAUCGGGUGCAACAGCAGUAAAUGUUCGUCCAUCACUUUCAGAAGGACGAAAUUGAAAAGUUGGUUGGGGAAAUGUUAACUGCAGGAAUUAUCGGACCCAAUAUCAGUCCGUUCUCGAGUCCAAUUCUCCUGGUUAAGAAAAAAUAUGAAAGCUGGAGAUUGUGAGUGGAUUACCGAGCAUUAAACAAGGCAACCAUUCCUCACAAGUAUCCUAUUCCAGUCAUAAGCAAAUUGCUGGAUAAAUUACAGAGGGCAAGGUAUUUCUCCAAGCUGGACCUAAAUUCUGGGUACCAUCAAAUUCGGGUCAAGAAUCUGAAAUUCCAAAGGCAGCAUUUCGGACUCAUUCAGAAACGUUACAAGUUUGUGGUUAUGCCAUUUGGGCUCUCCAAUGCUCUGGCAACCUUCCAAGCCACUAUGAACGAUCUAUUCAGGCCCUAUCUACGGAAUUUUGUAUUGAUUUUCUUCGACUAUAUUUUGAUAUACAGCAGAACUUGGGAGGAACAUUUGCAACAAUUAAAAAUAGUUUUGCAAUUGCUAUGCAAUCAGCAAUUUACAGUCAAUCAGAAGAAGAGUUCUUUUGGUUUGAUAAGUGUGGAAUAUUUAGGCCAUGUAAUAUCUUAUCAAGGGAUGGCCAUUGAACUUACAAAGGUAUCUAGUGUAUUGAUCUGGCCAAUUCAAAAAACUCUCAAGGGUGUUCGUGGAUUUAUCGGGUUGACCGGUUAUUAGUGUAAAUUCAUCAAAGGGUAUGGAAGCAUUGCAUAUCCGUUGAAUCCCGUGCUAAGAAUAGAAUACCAAGAGAGACUUAGAUGGACAUAAACAGCACAAGAGGCAUUUCAAACUCUUAAACAAGCUCUGGUGACUACUCCUGACUUUAAUAAAACAUUUGUGGUUGAAUGUGAUGCAUCAGGAACAGCGUAGGAGCUGUGUUGAUGCAAGAACAAAGACCAAUUACCUAUUUUAGUAAAGGCCUGUCUCACAAAAACUUGUCUAAAUCUACUUAUGAGCGCGAAAUGAUGGCUCUUGUCCUUGCAAUUAGACGAGGGAGACCUUACCUAUUGGGGCAGAAAUUCUUGGUGCAUACUGAUCAAAAUAGUUUGAGACACUUAUUGGAACAACAGAUUAACACACCUACGCAACAAUUUUGGUACCGAAACUGUUCAGUUAUAAUUUUAAAAUCAUGUACAAGCCUGAGUCCUCUUGCAGCUGAUGCCCUAUCAAGAAUUGAAGAAGAAGUCGAAUUGCAAGCUCUCACUUGCUCAAACCGCAUUGGGAUAUAAUUGAAAAGGAGAUGGCAAACAAUUCUUCUCUACAAGAUAUAAUUCAAAAGCUGAAAAAGGAGGGAAAAUCUCAUGGAGCAUAUACAUUAGUGCAAGACAAACUGUUUUAUAGAGGAAGGAUUGUUCUGCCAGCAAAUUCCUCGACCAUUCCCAAUCUCUUGGCCAAAUUUCAUUCAACACCAACGGGGGCAAUCGGGUGCAUUUUGAACUUAUAAGAGACUGGCAAACAUCUAUGAAAGGGGUAAUUCAUACUAAAUUGACUGCUCAUUACUUUGGACCAUUUAAAAUCAUCCAAAAAGUGGGAAAGGUGGCAUAUCGCUUGCAAUUGCCCAAAGAAGCAAGAAUACACCCUGUUUUUCAUGUAUCACAAUUGAAGUGGUCGAUUCUCAUCCCAUCACCAAAAAAUUACCUAAAGACUUGUCGGUUGAUGAGCUUCCAAUUGAACCAGAGGCAAUCUUGCAAAAGAAUUCAAAUGUGAGGGAGGGAUGCAAAAUGGAUCAGUUAUUGGUUAAAUAGAAAAAUAAGCCCAUUGAAGAAGCCACCUGGAUGAACCACUAUGAUUUUAUCAAUCAAUUUCCAGCCUUCAGUUGAGUACAAAGCUGUCUUUCAAAAGGGAAGCAUUGAUAGCAGCAGCCCAAAUAGAGAUCCAGGAAUCAUGAACAAUGGGCCAAACCCUUGAGAUUUUACUACAGAAGAAAUGUUAAAGGAAAGGGUAGCAUAGUUUCCAAAUGAAGAGUCCAGACUUGCCAAGCUGGAAAUGGACAAAUUAGGUGGUUACGAGGUUAGAGUGAUUCUCAGAUAGUACCUGGAGAGAGAAAG